rnacentral:rRNA from 1 species
GACGAACGCUGGCGGCGUGCCUAAUACAUGCAAGUUGAGCGCUGAAGGUUGGUACUUGUACCAACUGGAUGAGCAGCGAACGGGUGAGUAACGCGUGGGGAAUCUGCCUUUGAGCGGGGGACAACAUUUGGAAACGAAUGCUAAUACCGCAUAAAAACUUUAAACACAAGUUUUAAGUUUGAAAGAUGCAAUUGCAUCACUCAAAGAUGAUCCCGCGUUGUAUUAGCUAGUUGGUGAGGUAAAGGCUCACCAAGGCGAUGAUACAUAGCCGACCUGAGAGGGUGGACGGCGAAAUGGGGACUGAGAGAGGGCACAAACUACUGCGGGAGGCAGCAGUAGGGAAUCUUUGGCGAUGGAUGACAGUCUGAAAGAGCAAGGACGCGUGAGAGAAGAAGGUUGUCGGAUCGUAGCACUCUGUUGGUAGAGAAGAACGUUGGAGAGAGUGGAAAGCUCAUCAAGUGAAGGUAAGGACCCAGAAAGGGACGGCAAACUAUGUG